UAUGUGCUGAGAGGAAGUAUACUCAUUUGGAUCUAGAUAUUCUUUACUGUUACCACAACUCAAUUAAUCUAAGGAUGGCAUAUAACAGUGUUCAGUAAUAUUGGGAAGUCAUGGUUUUGGAUGAUGAGUUGGUAAGCUUUUCUAAUGAUGAAAAUAUGGCAGAUGUUGCCCGCAACUUGUUGGGAAUGGGAAGGUCAAGAAAAUGGAAUAUAAGCGUAUGAUACUCAACGCAAAAGUGAGGCUUGCAGUGACACAAGAAUCCGGCUAACAUUGGAGUUUCUAUUUCUUACUCUCUUUC